rnacentral:lncRNA from 1 species
UCUUGUGAUGUUAUUUUAAUUUAACUUAAACUACAUUACGCUAUGUUUUAUGCAAUAAAACAGUAAAGAGGUUUUCUAUAGGUGAAUUUUUACCUAUGUCAUUCGCGCGUUUGUCAAAUUGACUGAUGUGUAUGUGUACAUAGAGUGAGGUUAAAUUUGGGUUUAUUAUUGUUGAAUAGAUAAGUUUAUAUGUUUGGCAGAGAAGAGAAAACGAGGAUAAACCUUUCUUGCAGAAGAAAAAGACAAGCUAGUGAAAUUGCUGACGUCUCAUAGAGACACAAUAUUAAACAAAAAACGGAUGGGACCACGAACGAAGCCAAAAACAAAGCUUGGAUCCAGUCACAAAUAGUUUUAAUGCGACAGGAACCCUGUACAGUUUCAGGUGGUGCGAGAAAUUGGAAAGACGUGUAAAAACAUGCUGCGCCCAGCCCACCUCAAAUUGAAUUGGUGCAGGAGGAUGAUGAUAAUGUUUGGUACAUCAUAUGAGGACUAAUAUUAAAAUAUUUGUUUACUAUCUUUGUUUUAAUUUACAUAAUUUAUUAUGUUCAAUGUUAGCCUACUUCUUACCUCCAGAGGGUAACCCCUAUCACCUAGGAGAUAGGCUCCUCCAUAUUCACCAUUUUCGAAUCAUUGGUAUCUACUGCAGUUUUGGUAUUUAAGGCCUAUUCAAACCUGAGCGAUAUUCGCUGCCGCUGUGGGUAGAGGUAGAUACCGCGCCGGUUUCGCUCAGGUAUUUAGUAUCAAGUAUAGUUACCGGCACGGAUAUUGAGCUCUCGGCGGAAGAGUGGGGAUCGCUUUGCGCACUGUACACAAGGCAAUAAACCAAUAAAUGGCUUCUGCGCAGGUGAAGGUCAGGGCUCAAUAUCCGUGCCGAUAACUAUACCGCGGCUAGAGCGACCUGAGCGAUAUCCACUGCCGCUGUGGGUAGAAGUACAUACCGUGCGGCAGCAGCGGCAUGCAUCCCGAACAUCAACAGUAAUAUUAUCGCAUACCCACUGGGUUUUCUCUGUCGCAGGUGGUAGCGAAUACCGCUUAGGUCUGAACAGUCAUAUUACCGCAUACCCACAGGGUUUUCUCUGCCGUAGACGGUAGCGAAUACCGCUUAGGUCUGAAUAGGCCUAUAGUUGUCCCGGCCACCGCGAAACUACAUCAGUGAUUACCAGAUUUGCAUCUGUUAUGGUCUGUAUAUUUAUGCAGGACUUCCUAUUUUUGAAUAAUUCAGCGACAUCACGACCUAGCAAGUGCAUUCAUAGCAAGUGAUAACCUAUAAUCUUAUAAAAAAGUCAUGAUCAUCGUACUUUUUUCUCAGACAUCUGCUCUUUCACGUAAGAUAGGUACGUGGUCUUCUAAUGAUUAUUAUUUUACAUAUCCACAACCUCCACAGCUUCUAAACUUUCUAAAAGUUUACGUUUCAUUUUUUUUUUGCUUUUUAAACAUGGUAUUUUUGGUGUUACAUAACAUAUAAAGGUACAUUUCACUAUCCAUCGCCAGAAACGGUUCAAAAUAUGUUUGUAUUCUGUAAUGAUAAUGAUAGGAGUUGUUUAAGCAGGCAUCAAUCGGGCUCCCAAGUUUAAGUGAAAUUUUUAGGUUAAAAUUGACACCUAGGCUUUGGUGAAAAUGAAAUUCUUAUUAAGUGUUCCGUAAAUGCUCCCUAAAUUUAGGUGUUCGUUGGUGAAAACGGGCAUUAG